GAUGAACGCUGGCGGCGUGCCUAAUACAUGCAAGUCGAGCGAAUGGAUUAAGAGCUUGCUCUUAUGAAGCUAGCGGCGGACGGGUGAGUAACACGUGGGUAACCUGCCCAUAAGACUGGGAUAACUCCGGGAAACCGGGGCUAAUACCGGAUAACAUUUUGAACCGCAUGGUUCGAAAUUGAAAGGCGGCUUCGGCUGUCACUUAUGGAUGGACCCGCGUCGCAUUAGCUAGUUGGUGAGGUAACGGCUCACCAAGGCAACGAUGCGUAGCCGAACUGAGGGGUGGAUCGGCCACACUGGGACUGAGACACGGCCCAGACUCCGACGGGAGGCAGCAGUAGGGAAUCUUCCGCAAUGGACGAAAGUCUGACGGAGCAACGCCGCGUGAGUGAUGAAGGCUUUCGGGUCGUAAAACUCUGUUGUUAGGGAAGAACAAGUGCUAGUUGAAUAAGCUGGCACCUUGACGGUACCUAACCAGAAAGCCACGGCUAACUACGUGCCAGCCGCCGCGGUAA
rnacentral:rRNA from 1 species